UCUUAUGGAUGGGCAAAGAAAACGGUUUCUUGAGAUAGAAUCUACCCCUGGUGAAGAUUCUAUGAA
rnacentral:pre_miRNA from 1 species